rnacentral:rRNA from 1 species
GACGAACGCUGGCGGCGUGCUUAACACAUGCAAGUCGAACGGAAAGGCCUGCUUUCCCUUGUGGAUUGCGGGUACUCGAGUGGCGAACGGGUGAGUAACACGUGAGUGAUCUGCCCCCAACUUGGGUAUAAGCCUGGGAAACUGGGUCUAAUUCCCGAUAGGACUGCAGGGUGGUGCCUGUGGUGGAAAACGAUUUUCUAGUGGUUGGGGAUGAGCUCGCGGCCUAUCAGCUUGUUGGUGGGGUAAUGGCCUACCAAGGCGGCGACGGGUAGCCGGCCUGGGAGGGUGGACGGCCACAUUGGGACUGAGAUACGGCCCAGACCCCUACGGGAGGCAGCAGUGGGGAAUAUUACACAAUGGGCGGAAGCCUGAUGCAGCGACGCCGCGUGGGGGAUGACGGCCUUCGGGUUGUAAACUCCUUUCGACCGCGAGGAAGCCACCUGGUUGGAAGGGUGGUGACGGUAGUGGUAGAAGAAGCACCGGCUAACUACGUG